AUACGUAGGGGGCGAGCGUUGUCCGGAAUGAUUGGGCGUAAAGGGCGCGUAGGCGGCCCGGUAAGUCUGGAGUGAAAGUCCUGUUUUUAAGAUGGGAAUUGCUUUGGAUACUGUCGGGCUUGAGUGCAGGAGAGGUAAGUGGAAUUCCCAGUGUAGCGGUGAAAUGCGUAGAGAUUGGGAGGAACACCAGUGGCGAAGGCGACUUACUGGACUGUAACUGACGCUGAGGCGCGAAAGUGUGGGGAGCAAACAGGAUUAGAUACCCUGGUAGUCCACGCAGUAAACGAUGAUGGCUAACCGCUGGGCUUAUCAGUUCAGUGGCCAAGCGAAAGCGAUAAGCCAUCCACCUGGGGAGUACGACCGCAAGGUUGAAACUCAAAUGAAUUGGCGGGG
rnacentral:rRNA from 1 species